GUUAACGAAAUUUUUUGCAAUGUGAAGUUUUCUUUGAGUAAUUUCAUCGUGUGUCCCUACAUUUUGCUCUCUGCUGCUCUGUUUUUGUUUGCGGAUCAAAAAUCUUUGCGUUUGAGUCAAAAAGUUUUGGAUGCAAGUUACAAUCGUCUCAGUGGGCGGGAUCAACCUAGUUGAAUGAAAGACCCGUUUCUAUUGGCCACUACUGUCACCAUUUGGCCACGCCCACCACGGAAGUCUGCCUGUAGAACGAGGAGAGCGAUGCUGUGCUAUGGAGAGCGGCAUAUUGUUUGUAAGGAAUGAUUGGGAGGAUUGUAAUCAGAGAGGCCAAGAAAGAUGUCAAUAUCACUUUGUAAUGCAAGAUCUGUUGUGGAGAGGAUGCAUUGUGUGGCAUCCUCAUCUCUGCUGUUGACUUCAAACAAUUCAAUUUUGUUCACAUUUAUUUGUAUAGCGCUUUGAACAGUUUUGAAGUCCUCGUGAUGGCCGAUGUCAACUUUCCUUAUGUGUAGGUUCAUCUGAUAGAGACAGGAUCCAGACUGGAGUUGGUGUAAUCUGAAGUUUAAAAAAAAGCAAAUAGAGAAAAUUACCAUAGCUGCUGUUUAGAGCUUUUUAGGUUAAGGAUAAUUUUAAAAAAGUUAUUUAUAAACUUAAUGCAAAGUUACAGGAUGAAAUUAUGUUUAUGCACACUGAAGAGGUGUCUUUAGGCUAGAUUUAAACUGGGAGGGAGUGUCUGAACAGUCUCAGUAAGGCUGUUCCACAGUUUCCAUAGGUGGAAAAAAACUUGCCCUGCUUUGGUAGAUUUUGCUAUCCGAGGAACUACUAAAAGUCUGGAGUUUUGAGAUAUUAAGGAGCAUGAUUGUUUGUAGCGCAUACUAGAAGUUCUGUCUGUAGGAGCUAAACCAUUUGGGACUUUAUAAGUGAGUAGCAAUAUUUUGUAAUCGAUACAGAAUUUAACUGGUAACUAUUGUAGAGAUGCUAAAUUUGGGGUUAUAUGAACUUGCGUGACCUUGUAAGAACUCUAGCAGCUGGGAUUUUGCACUAAUUGUAGCCUAUUAAUUAAGGAUGCAGGACACCCAGUAAUCUAAUCUAGAUGUCAUAAAUACAUGAACAAGGUUCUUCACAUCUGAGACGGUUGAUAUGUUCUGCUGGAAGAAGGCUGCUUUUGUGAUGUGAGAUAUGGGUUUCAAAAGAAAGAUUUCUGUCUAAUAAAAGUCAUUUACUGUAUUUGCUGAGGUGACCAACGUCAUUUCAUUUAAAAACUGUACUCCAAAUUAUUCUGCUUACAGCUCUUUGGUCCCAUGAGUAGUCCAAGUAUCUUCAUGUAACUUUUUUUUAAUCAGAUCUUGGAAUCCCCAGCCAUCCUUCCUGUCAUUGCCUGACUUCAAUGUAACCUCUAGUGAAGAAUCAUCUGAGAAAUAAAUACAAAUUACUGAGAUACAAAACAAGUGUUGUAUAUUUAGUGUCUUACUAAACAUUACAUGGGCCUUUGGACAAGACAUUUUGGGGCGGUUUCCCGGACAGGGAUUAGACUAGUCCUAGACUAAAAUAAAUGUAAGAGCUGUCAAAACUGAAAACAACUUGUGCUGACAUAUCUUAAAAUACAUCAGUGCCCUUUGUUUUGCCUCAAAAUGCACACAAGUAACGUUUUUAGUAAGGCAUGUUUGUUAAACCUUGUUAUAUUUCCUAAUUAAACUAAGGCCUAAUCCUGGUUUAAGAUAUUCCCUGUCCAGGAAACCGCCCUUAAAUGCUUUUUUCAUUUGUAAAUGGAUUUGAAUAAAGGCAUCUGCUAUGUGAAUAAACAUACAUUCAAAUUUCUUCAACUGGAUAUUGUUUGAAUACAUAAACAUUUACAUAAGUGCCAUUA